AUCUUAGUCAAGUUAAAUUAUGUUCAUGGAGUAACAUGCAUAAAAAAGUUAAAAUUUGCAUUAAAUUCUUAAAAAAAGAAGUAAUGUGUUAAACUGUUUUCUUCUUCUCUUAAUCUACUUUUGAAACAAAUAUAAUAAUGCUCAGGUUUGUACAAUCUAUGUUUUUAAUGUGAAAUCAUGUUCUUUCUUUUCAAUAUAAUGAUUUAUAAUACUGAAAACUUCAUUGUUUUUAAUCAAAGUCAAUGCAUGAUUGUUUAAUGCAAACUCUAACCUCUGAUUCAUGUUUU